rnacentral:rRNA from 1 species
UACGUAGGUGGCAAGCGUUGUCCGGAAUUAUUGGGCGUAAAGCGCACGUAGGCGGACUCUUAAGUCGGUGGUGAAAUCCUGGAGCUCAACUCCAGAACUGCCUUCGAUACUGAGAGUCUCGAGUCCGGGAGAGGUGAGUGGAACUGCGAGUGUAGAGGUGAAAUUCGUAGAUAUUCGCAAGAACACCAGUGGCGAAGGCGGCUCACUGGCCCGGUACUGACGCUGAGGUGCGAAAGCGUGGGGAGCAAACAGG